UACGGAGGGUGCGAGCGUUGUCCGGAAUCAUUGGGCGUAAAGGGCGCGUAGGUGGCCCGGUGAGUCUUUGGUGAAAGCGCGGGGCUCAACCCUGCGUCGGCCAGGGAUACUGCCGCGGCUGGAGCACUGUAGAGGCAGGCGGAAUUCCGGGUGUAGCGGUGGAAUGCGUAGAGAUCCGGAAGAACACCGGUGGCGAAGGCGGCCUGCUGGGCAGUGGCUGACACUGAGGCGCGACAGCGUGGGGAGCAAACAGG
rnacentral:rRNA from 1 species